UUGAUAGACUAGAGACUGAUGUUCUCGCUUUAUCCACUGAACAGGAACAGCAUGGGCAGCGCUUCUGAAAGUUUCCCCACAUUGCUCUGCCAAUGUCCAUCAGCCCUUAACUGGAGUGAUCACAUCCAGAUGUUAGAGGGUGGUUCAACUUACUGGGUGAAAUCCUCACCCCACUGCA
ensembl:misc_RNA